GUAGGUGAACCUGCGGAAGGAUCAUUACCAAAACAUAGCAAUCUCGGCCUCCGGGCUCUGAAAGCUUCAACCAUUUGUGAACCAAACCUUCUUUUCGCUUCGGCAGCUAUGGCGGUCUUGUCAUGUCAGCCUGCCGCUAGCACCAUUGAAAACCUGCUGUAUUAUAUGUCUGAACACGAAUAUUUUUGAAUUCAAUCAAAACUUUCAACAACGGAUCUCUUGGUUCCCGCAUCGAUGAAGAACGCAGCAU
rnacentral:misc_RNA from 1 species